CGGGCCGGGCGGGGCUCCCGCCGCGGGGCCGGACCGCUCGAGCCGCGGAGCCGGGAGCGGCCCUGCCGAGCCGGGAGGGGAAGGAGUGGAAAGGUCCCCAGAACAGCAGGGACAGGGACGUGUUGGAGCCAGUCCGGAGGCGACCACCAAGUUGAUCAGAGGAAAGGAGGAAAGGAUGAGAGAGCUGGCAUUGCUCAACCUGGAGAAGGCUUGGGGUGACUCAACUGCCACAUUCCAGUGCCUGAGGGGAGCCUAAAGGAAAGAGGGGGCAAGACUAUUUACAGAGCGUGUGGUGACAGGACAAGGAGGAAUGAUUUCAAACUAAGAGUGCCUGCUAUAUGAGCUCUUCUGGUACCUGAGGGCGAAUGAAUCACUCAAUUCAUCUGGAUGAAUCGAGAUGCAGUUUUCACUCUGUUGCUUUUGAAUUUUGUAAUAUUUUGUAAUACUUGUAGCUGUUUGAUAAAUCCAGCUCUCUUGAA